rnacentral:lncRNA from 1 species
ACGCGGGGCUCCAGCUUGCCGCGGCCAGCCGGCCGCCUGCUCGCACCCCGCCCGGGCCGCCCCCCGCCAUGAGCGCCGCGCGCUGGCUGCAGGCAGAGUCGCUGCCGCCCGGCCGCCGCUGGCUCCAGUCCGCCGCCAUUAUUCUUUGUUCGCUGCGAGCGGCGGCGGUGUUGUGGGGCUCGGGCGGAGGCUCCAUCUUUACCGCGGCCCCUCCUGCGAGGGGAAGGCCCCGAGCGCGGGUGUCCGGCGCCUCCCCGGCCCCCCUCCGUCCCCCCGGCUCUCUCCGGCUCCUGCCUCCUCCUCCUGCUCCUCUUACCGGUGGUACAAGCUCCUCCGUCACUGCUUUCGUUCGCGGCCCGGAUCUCGCUGGAGUUUUAUUCUCUCCCCCACGUAACACACCGCGUCAAACUACACCUCCGCCGCGUCACUCACCAACACUCCGCUUCUCCCAGCCGCCCGGGCCACAGGCAGCAGCAGCCGCCGCCGACUGAGGAGCCGCAGCCAGGGAGCCAGCCAGCGCCGCCCAGUGCCGAGUGCGCAGCGGCCACUCACGGAAACAGCCGAGCUCGGCCCGGAGCCGCUCGAGAGGCCCCGCCCCCACGCUGGCGGCGGAACCUGCCGAAGGCUUUCGGCCUCUUCCGGGAGCAGCAAAGGCAUGGAUCGCGGAAGACAGGUGUAGGCGGGUUGAGACCCGCUCUGCUGGAGCGGUCCAAACCUCAAUACGGCGAGCUGAGGCUUCAAACGCCGGCUGAGGAAAUUUGGAGGAAGCGGGGUUUGAGUGCGGCCAGAUCGGGGGAUUCCCGGGGUGGCGGGGACUUGAUGGAAACCCCCGCGCGGUCUGAUCCUGCGGCGGAAGCAGACCGCCCGGGAACUUUGACAAGCCGCGAGGGUCAGGAGCCGUGCCGGCGAGCUGGAAGGGCAGGCGGACGCCGGCCACCAGCAAGGGGAAUCUGCCGAGAACUGUCUAAAGGGCCCCAGGUGGUUCUUUGCCGGAAUGAAAGCUACCUGACACGUGGCAUGUGAGAUUCUGCUUGGCUGCCUGUACAGCCAGAGCCCUGCGGUUCAGAGAGGGCUUCAUAUGGAGUGGGAAGAAUGAGAGCACCAAGGUGCAGCACUAUUGCCUACAGCUCUGCCAACAACCAUGGGUCCCGCAUGGCUGCCUUUCUGCUGGGUUCUGGAAAGACAAGGGAAGGGUGAGGGGAGGAAAACCAUAGGACACAGAAGAGGCUGAUUUGGAGCAGAGAGAGCAUCCAGAUGUGGGGGUGACAGAUGGAAUCGGCAGGGAAGGAUUUGUUCUCGGGAUCCUUAAGAAAUUGCUGUAUCCACCCAACUUUCAGCAACCAAGACAACCAGUCAGCAGCCUUCAACAUCCAGGCAAAACCUAUGAGCAAAAAGAUGACUGAAGACUCCAACAGUGAUCAGCAACUUUCAACAUUGAACUACUUUAAAAUUGAGGCAUUAUAGUAAUUACUUGAUUCUCUGUGAAAAAAUACCUGGCCAAUGCAACUUAAGUGGGGGAGGUUUGUUUUGUCUCACAGCUAGAGGGCACAGUCCAUAAUGUCAGAGACGGUGGCAGGAUGGCAGCAGGAGAAGAAGAUGCAGGUCAUAUUGCAGUCACAUCCAGGAAGCAGAGAGAGAGAGAGAUGAUGAUGACCGUGCUUUGCUCACAUUCUCCUGUUUUAUUUUGUUUUGUUUUAAUUUACUCCAGGAUCCCAACACAGGGAAUAGAACAGACCACAUUUAGGGUAGUCUUUCCAACUCAGCCAGCCUAAUCUGGAGAACACCUCAUGGGCAUGUCUGGUGUUCAUUUUAAAUCCCAUCAAUCAAGAUUAACCAUUACUGUUUUGUCUAUUUCUUAUUUCAGACACAAUGAACUGACACACUUGUGUAAACAUGACUCUUACUUGCACUUAGAAACAAAAGAGAGUUUCAGAACUUGCAUUAGGCAAUAUUAACAUGAAUAAUUUUAAUGAGGUGGUUUGAAACCAAACCUGCAAUAUCUGAUGUAUUCUUCCAUUAAAUAACAACUGAUAAAUAUUUUUUAAAGUACAAAGAUGUCUAAGUUUUCUCCACUGUCUUGAAUUUUCUCAAGGGGUAAAAUGAUGACAAUGGCAUCACGAGAUUAUUUUGAGGGUGAAAUGGAAAGACCCAUAUACAUCACACAACACUGGAAGUGACAAGGGAGAGUGCAGAUUUCCAUAACUGCUGUCACCAAAGUUAUAUUCAUUGAUAAACAUCUAGAAUUUUUCUGUAGAGUUUUAAAUUCAUAAAUUCUAUUCCAAUGCAAUAUAUGAAAAGACAAGUACAGGCAAAUCAUUU